AAAUAAGUAAGCUAACAAUUAAAGCUUUUAGGCCCAUACCCUAAAUAUAGAAUCCAAAUUAAUUCUCUUAUUUA
rnacentral:tRNA from 1 species